UACGGAGGGGGCGAGCGUUCUUCGGAAUUAUUGGGCGUAAAGGGCGCGUAGGCGGCUUGAUGUGUCAAAGGUGAAAUCCCUCGGCUCAACUGAGGAACUGCCUUUGAAACUGUCUGGCUUGAGGCCGGGAGAGGGUAGCGGAAUUCCCAGUGUAGCGGUGAAAUGCGUAGAUACUGGGAGGAACACCGGUGGCGAAGGCGGCUACCUGGACCGGUUCUGACGCUGAUGCGCGAAAGCGUGGGUAGCAAACAGG
rnacentral:rRNA from 1 species